UAUGAACGCUAGCGGCAGGCCUAACACAUGCAAGUCGAGGGGUAACUAGAGUGAUAGCAAUAUUACUUUGGCUAGACCGGCGCACGGGUGCGUAACACGUAUGCAACCUACCUUAUACUGGGGAAUAACUUCGAGAAAUCGGCGCUAAUACCCCAUAACAUUGCGAAGAGGCAUCUCUUUGCAAUUAAAGCUCCGGCGGUAUAAGAUGGGCAUGCGUCCAAUUAGCUAGUUGGUGAGGUAACGGCUCACCAAGGCUACGAUUGGUAGGGGUUCUGAGAGGAUGAUCCCCCACACUGGUACUGAGGCACGGACCAGACUCCUACGGGAGGCAGCAGUGAGGAAUAUUGCGCAAUGGACGAAAGUCUGACGCAGCCAUGCCGCGUGCAGGAUGACGGCCCUAUGGGUUGUAAACUGCUUUUGUACGGGAAUAAACCCUUCUACGUGUAGGAGGCUGAAGGUACCGUAAGAAUAAGCACCGGCUAACUCCGUGCCAGCCGCCGCGGUAAAAC
rnacentral:rRNA from 1 species